CUUUCAACAACGGAUCUCUUGGUUCCAGCAACGAUGAAGAACGCAGCGAAAUGCGAUAAGUAAUGUGAAUUGCAGAAUUCAGUGAAUCAUCGAAUCUUUGAACGCACAUUGCGCCCCUCGGUAUUCCGGGGGGCAUGCCUGUUCGAGCGUCAUU
rnacentral:rRNA from 1 species